GAAACGGAACUUCUCCCAAUCCUGAGUUCUUACCUUGUCCAUCAGUGGAAAGGGUAGGGAAUGGGAUGACACUUGAAUGUUGGAAAAAGAGCGGAGAAUGGAGCCAACAAAUCAGACGUUUUAGUGUUACAACAGUCGGAACUUCACUCGUUCAUUUUUCCUAAUUCACUGAGCCGAAUUAUUCGAAAGAACCGAUUCGUCAGUCGGACUUUUCGAAUAAUACGCAUGCGCAACGACUAGGCCGUGGCCAGGGUUAGCGAGGCUUUCAUCGACGGAAACUUGUUUCAACUGUAUCAGUUUUCACUGAGAUGGUUUAUACAGCAGGGCUCAUGACCCAGUAUUACCACCUACAGAGAGAACGACACAACCGGGAAUUGCCGUGCAUCCCAGCUGUCCAUUUUUACUGGAAUUGGGGAUAAAUAAUUCUGUUCGACUGUCCCGAUUGAUUACUCGUCAAGACUCUUCACGCUGGAGCCCAUGGGAAUGGAUGAGCAUGGUGUUUAUGUGCUUUAGGAUAAACGACUGCCUAUAAAGCUGGCGAGGCCGCUCUCAGGGCCAUAAAUACGUCCACAGAUUGUCUCGAGAGCGCAUCGUAAUCCUUGUUGAUAGUCAGUUGCCGGGAAGAGUUGCUGCAAGCAGUCGGUUCUCCUCCAAUAGAUGUCAAUCAAACGACAGUCGGUCGGGCUUGCUGGGAUGCCAAAGUUGACAUUGCUCCAGUUAUUUCUCUUUCAACACUGAUAAAGAAGCACCAUUCGUAUAACCUAAUAUGAAAAGUUUAAAAAAUCAUGAAAGAAUGCAAAAGAAAACACGUUUCAUAUCAAUCUAAAAUGUUGAAGCUUUAUACCAUGGCUACUUUUGUCACUAGAUGGCGGUAAAACUCCAAUAAUAAUUCGUGUAUCACCAUGCAUAGCCAAGAGUUUGUGUGGUUUAAACUCGCUCAUUGCAUAACGGGACAAUGCACCUCAUUCAUUCUGUGGUAAAUGUUUAGUUCCAAGCACUCCUUAAUUUUUUUUUUUUUUUUGGAAAAAAUUGAAUGUACUUCUCUGCAAACGCUUGAUGCAUUUGAACCCUUUCUUUUAUUUAAAUACUUUAUUAGAUAGUAUCACGUGUCGUCUUAAAACGUUUUAGAAAAGUUACUAGUCCUUGUGCGUUAUGAUUUUCUUUAAGCUAAAGAAUUAUGAUUCUGAUGUCGUUGCUUUUGUUCAUUAUUAAAACAUUAUGUAUUCAUUUAUUAAUCUAUUUAUAGAAUCUCAUUGUCCCGACUGUGUAGCCUACAUUAAGACAUUAAUUCGGUAGCCUAAAUGUGAUAUUUGAAUAUAUGAAUUUGAAAUGUGGCAUCAGACUGAUACUUAAUGUAUGGUCUAUUACAACACUACAGAAAUAUUUUAAAAGGGACAUUGAAAUUACAAUUUAAAUAAUUCGAUUUAAUUAGAUAUUUAUUGUUUGCUUGAAUAGAUUAUCACUAAAAUUGCAUGCUUUUGUUUGGUGGCUGCAAGAAACAUAAAGGAUUUCAAAUUUUCUGACUGCAUGAGCUCUUUUAGCCUUCGAUUUCCCGCGAGCACGCGCUCGGUCUAGUGUAGCGAGGGCAUACAAUUCAGACUUGGCUGUGCAACAAGCACUUCAAUUACUAAAUACCCUUUCACUCAAAAGAAGCGAUACACAACAUAUGAAUGAAUCAGAUUUAUUAUGGGAUAGCGAUGGAUUUUUAUGACUGACGAACAGGCGUGCUAGAUCAGCACAAUGUCUUUCCCCACAGCGGAGUAUAAUGAGAGAGCUUUUCACUGUUGCCCAACGAUCAGCGUCUUGUGGCUUGAGUCUCGUUUUACUCACAGUUUCAGUGCUUGUUUAACGUCCUCUAGCACGACAUAUCCAGCGUGUUUUAGGCACCGUUUUACUUUUCUGCUUUGUAGACAAUUGUCUUAACUAUCACUUGCAAUUAUUACCUGCAAAAAAAGAGAGAUGUGAUAAAUCAAUAUUGCAGUUGCUGUUCUAGAGAUGUGAUAAAAAGUACUCAAGGAAAUUAGAGUACGUUUGUUUGACAUUGUUAGACGUUUGCUAAUGCCAUUCGAUUGGAUCGGUUUCCCCCGUUAUGUGCCAUUUUCAUAAAUAAACUUGUUAACUCGGAUACUUUUAAAACCAUUUAAGCCUGACGUGAUAUUAUUAACGUUGUUUUAUUAAAGCCAUUUUCAAUCGCCAUUGAUUUCACAGUAAUCAUACAUUGUUGCUGUUGGACGUGGAGCCCCACCGCAGAUGUGUAAAUAGCCUACUGCCCGCCAAGCAAAGCCUCAACCUAUAUAUUUUCUACAGUAUGCGAAUUAUGCAGUAAGUUGCAGGGGGAUCCACAUUUGUAAAGGAAUUUAAAAAGGAAAUUUUCGUAGCAAUCUAUUAUGGUCUCGAGCAACCCUGAUUGUCUUUUGGCGUCUCUAGCACUCAAACGUUUUAAAUAAGCACUUAUAUUUUGUGAUAUAUUUGUAAAUGUGUGAUAUAUGUGUCCAAUGAUGAUUGAACAAAAAGUGUUGCUAUGGUUACCGAAUA